rnacentral:rRNA from 1 species
CGCUAGCUACAGGCUUAACACAUGCAAGUCGAGGGGCAUCAGGAAGAAAGCUUGCUUUCUUUGCUGGCGACCGGCGCACGGGUGAGUAACACGUAUCCAACCUGCCCUUUACUCGGGGAUAGCCUUUCGAAAGAAAGAUUAAUACCCGAUAGCAUAAUGAUUCCGCAUGGUUUCAUUAUUAAAGGAUUCCGGUAAAGGAUGGGGAUGCGUUCCAUUAGGUUGUUGGUGAGGUAACGGCUCACCAAGCCUUCGAUGGAUAGGGGUUCUGAGAGGAAGGUCCCCCACAUUGGAACUGAGACACGGUCCAAACUCCUACGGGAGGCAGCAGUGAGGAAUAUUGGUCAAUGGGCGCUAGCCUGAACCAGCCAAGUAGCGUGAAGGAUGAAGGCUCUAUGGGUCGUAAACUUCUUUUAUAUAAGAAUAAAGUGCAAUAUGUAUACUGUUUUGUAUGUAUUAUAUGAAUAAGGAUCGGCUAACUCCGUGCCAGCAGCCGCGGUAAUACGGAGGAUCCGAGCGUUAUCCGGAUUUAUUGGGUUUAAAGGGAGCGUAGGUGGACUGGUAAGUCAGUUGUGAAAGUUUGCGGCUCAACCGUAAAAUUGCAGUUGAUACUGUCAGUCUUGAGUACAGUAGAGGUGGGCGGAAUUCGUGGUGUAGCGGUGAAAUGCUUAGAUAUCACGAAGAACUCCGAUUGCGAAGGCAGCUCACUGGACUGCAACUGACACUGAUGCUCGAAAGUGUGGGUAUCAAACAGG